rnacentral:tRNA from 1 species
ACCUGGGUGGCUUAGUCAGUUAAGCGUCCGACUUUGGCUCAGGUCAUGAUCUCACAGUUUGUGGGUUCAGACCCCACCUUGGGCU